ACGAACGCUGGCGGCGCGCCUAACACAUGCAAGUCGAACGGGAUGAAUUUUCUCACUGAGUUUUUUGCGAGUCAGCCGGAAGCGCCAUUGAUGCGAAGCAUCAAUUAGGCUUAUUCCAGUAAGACUGACACAAAGGGCAAAAGACUGAGUGAGGAAAUUCAUUCAGUGGCGAACGGGUGAGUAACGCGUGAGGAACCUGCCUCAAAGAGGGGGACAACAGUUGGAAACGACUGCUAAUACCGCAUAAGCCCACGGCUCGGCAUCGAGCAGAGGGAAAAGGAGUGAUCCGCUUUGAGAUGGCCUCGCGUCCGAUUAGCUGGUUGGUGAGGUAACGGCCCACCAAGGCGACGAUCGGUAGCCGGACUGAGAGGUUGAACGGCCACAUUGGGACUGAGACACGGCCCAGACUCCUACGGGAGGCAGCAGUGGGGAAUAUUGCACAAUGGGGGAAACCCUGAUGCAGCGACGCCGCGUGGAGGAAGAAGGUCUUCGGAUUGUAAACUCCUGUUGUUGAGGAAGAUAAUGACGGUACUCAACAAGGAAGUGACGGCUAACUACGUGCCAGCAGCCGCGGUAAAACGUAGGUCACAAGCGUUGUCCGGAAUUACUGGGUGUAAAGGGAGCGCAGGCGGGAGAACAAGUUGGAAGUGAAAUCCAUGGGCUCAACCCAUGAACUGCUUUCAAAACUGUUUUUCUUGAGUAGUGCAGAGGUAGGCGGAAUUCCCGGUGUAGCGGUGGAAUGCGUAGAUAUCGGGAGGAACACCAGUGGCGAAGGCGGCCUACUGGGCACCAACUGACGCUGAGGCUCGAAAGUGUGGGUAGCAAACAGGAUUAGAUACCCUGGUAGUCCACGCAGUAAACGAUGGACACUAUCUGUUCGGGUCGAAUGGGAUCUGAGUGGCACAGCGAAAGCGUUAAGUGUCCCACCUGGGGAGUACGCCGGCAACGGUGAAACUCAAAGGAAUUGACGGGGGCCCGCACAAGCAGUGGAGUAUGUGGUUUAAUUCGACGCAACGCGAAGAACCUUACCAAGUCUUGACAUCCCUUGACGAACAUAGAAAUAUGUUUUCUCUUCGGAGCAAGGAGACAGGUGGUGCAUGGUUGUCGUCAGCUCGUGUCGUGAGAUGUUGGGUUAAGUCCCGCAACGAGCGCAACCCUUAUGGUCAGUUACUACGCAAGAGGACUCUGGCCAGACUGCCGUUGACAAAACGGAGGAAGGUGGGGAUGACGUCAAAUCAUCAUGCCCUUUAUGACUUGGGCUACACACGUACUACAAUGGCGUUAAACAAAGAGAAGCAAGACCGCGAGGUGGAGCAAAACUCAGAAACAACGUCCCAGUUCGGACUGCAGGCUGCAACUCGCCUGCACGAAGUCGGAAUUGCUAGUAAUCGUGGAUCAGCAUGCCACGGUGAAUACGUUCCCGGGCCUUGUACACACCGCCCGUCACACCAUGAGAGCCGGGGGGACCCGAAGUCGGUAGUCUAACCGCAAGGAGGACGCCGCCGAAGGUAAAACUGGUGAUUGGGGUG
rnacentral:rRNA from 1 species